rnacentral:sRNA from 1 species
AUAGGGAAAUUGGAAAAUAGAUGAGAUCAGGAAAUCGAGAAAUCGAGAAAGCAAAACAUGAAAACGCGAAAACGCGAAAUGAAUUUUCGAUUUUGCGUUUUUGCUUUCUCUAUUUCUCGAUUUCCCAAUUUCUUGAUUUCUCGAUUUCCCAAUUUCAUGAUU